rnacentral:lncRNA from 1 species
UCACUAGCCGAGCUCUUUAUUGACAGCACUUACAUUCUUUGAAGGAAAAUGAUCUCACUCUUUCACGGGCAAUAGUAGCCGAAAGGAUUCCAGACUGAGACUAGAGUUCAGUUUCACCACCAUGUUGGGCUUCUGUUCCCUGGAGCACAGCACUGGGUCGAAGGCGGCUGAAUCUGGAAGAGAUUUUGACGUCACUCACGCCAACUCAAAAACAUUAGAGAAAGAGAGAAUUAGAAAUCCGUUUUUGGAGAAAAUGAGCCUCA